rnacentral:rRNA from 1 species
AGCGAACGCUGGCGGCAGGCUUAACACAUGCAAGUCGAGCGCCCCGCCAGGGGCGCGGCAGACGGGAGAGUAACACGUGGGGACAUACCUUUUGGUUCGGAACAACUGAGGGAAACUUCAGCUAAUACCGGAUAAGCCCUUACGGGGAAAGAUUUAUCGCCGAAAGAUUGGCCCGCGUCUGAUUAGCUAGUUGGUGAGGUAACGGCACACCAAGGCGACGAUCAGUAGCUGGUCUGAGAGGAUGAUCAGCCUCACUGGGACUGAGACACGGCCCAGACUCCUACGGGAGGCAGCAGUGGGGAAUAUUGGACAAUGGGGGCAACCCUGAUCCAGCCAUGCCGCGUGAGUGAUGAAGGCCUUAGGGUUGUAAAGCUCUUUUGCCCGGGAAGAUAAUGACGGUACCGGGAGAAUAAGCCCCGGCUAACUUCGUG